rnacentral:lncRNA from 1 species
GAAGAUGGUAGCUUCCAGCGUGUCUUUAAAAAGCCAGAUCAUAAUUGACCAUCCUUUGGAAGAGACCUAGCAAUCAUAUCAUAGUAAUAUACAUUUAAAGCUCGCUACAUCAUAUAAAGUGGAAGAACAAAUGCAUACGCAGGACACUGAAGGUAACAAAAACUUUUCAAAGUACUCGGAAACACAAACCUCUAGAAUCUGUUGCCAAUCUUUUCCCGUUAACUGAAAAAAGAAAAAACCGAUAAAGAUGCUUAUUAGGCCCAAAUUGCUUUAAGGUUCAUUAAACACUCAUAGCUAUAAAAGUACAAAACAGAUUAAUUAGCUUUUCCAAAAAAGGAAGCAUCCUUAAACAAAGACUGGAAAAGAUAUGCAACUAAUGGAAAAAAGACGAGCACAUCCAAUAAAAGUAAAUUGCAGACCUUGUGCAGAAUGAUGUCAAAAGGACCUUGUUUUGAAAGAGGAAGCCCUUGGUCGAUUGCAACGAAAUGAAUGCCCUUCUUCCUGCAUCAAUUUUGUAAGCCCUAAUAAACACAAGGAAUUACAGUUUCUAACUGUUUAAUAAAACGAAAAAACAUUAACUACUAUAGUGAAAAU